rfam:Schistosoma mansoni strain Puerto Rico chromosome 4, complete genome
ACCCAGCCGAAGAGUCCCAAAUAGGACGAAACGCGCGUCCUGUAU